ACUCCUACGGGAGGCAGCAGUAGGGGAAUCUUCCACAAUGGGCGCAAGCCUGAUGGAGCAACACCGCGUGAGUGAAGAAGGGUUCGGCUCGUAAAGCUCUGUUGUUAAAGAAGAACACGUAUGAGAGUAACUGUUCAUACGUUGACGGUAUUUAACCAGAAAGUCACGGCUAACUACGUGCCAGCAGCCGCGGUAAUACGUAGGUGGCAAGCGUUAUCCGGAUUUAUUGGGCGUAAAGAGAGUGCAGGCGGUUUUCUAAGUCUGGUGUGAAAGCCUUCGGCUUAACCGGAGAAGUGCAUCGGAAACUGGAUAACUUGAGUGCAGAAGAGGGUAGUGGGAACUCCAUGUGUAGCGGUGGAAUGCGUAGAUAUAUGGAAGAACACCAGUGGCGAAGGCGGCUACCUGGUCUGCAACUGACGCUGAGACUCGAAAGCAUGGGUAGCGAACAGGAUUAGAUACCCUGGUAGGAUAGCG
rnacentral:rRNA from 1 species